CCCCAUGGGCCUGUUUGGUCAGGCAGUGCCUCUGGGCAGGACCGGGAGGAGUUCAGACAGCUAAGAGUCAAAUGGCCCUACCCAUAAUGGGAAUUUAGAGUUGCUCAUGGGCACUGUGGAAGAGGAGAAAGACCCAGAGGGAGACCCACUGCAGCCAAGGAGGCUACGUAGAGGCAGUCUUGGUCUGUCUGCAACACCAGCUCCCGUGCUUGGAUCACACCUCGGAUGCACACGCUUGAAGAUCAUGUGCCACAGAAGCUCAUUUGCCAACCCUUUGACCAACUCUGGUCCAUGCACUCGGCAGCCUUCAGGCCACCCUUGAAGGUUCCACAGAGCCUCCACAGACAGGGGAGUCCCUGACAGUAAAAAUACCUCAUGGACCAGACACCCCCCAAAACAAAGCAAAGCCACUGCCUCGAGUCCUCUGCCCCUGUUACCACCGCUUGCAGCCUUUUCUGGCUUCCACCUCCAGGUCCGUCCUCGUCCCCACCUCUCCUCCACCUUCUGCUCACAGUCCCAGCAUCCACUUGGGCUUUGUCCCUCGACUCCACCCCCGUCCUAGACUGAAUCCGAUGUCCACUCCCACUCCCAGCCCCGGCCCCACAGAGUCCCUGCUGGGUCUCAUCACAGCCUGGACGCGACCUAGUGGGACUGGCUAUUCCUGUUAAAGUAAAAUUCACAACACUUUGUGAAUUUCCAGCACUUGCACUAUCCCCCAUAGCUUCAGCACAGAUCAGUGUUUUCCUGUCUUUGACAAGUUUAUUCGAUUGUUUGAAAAUGUUGAUUAACAAUGUAGGAUC
rnacentral:lncRNA from 1 species